rnacentral:rRNA from 1 species
GACGAACGCUGGCGGCGUGCUUAACACAUGCAAGACGAACGAUGAAGCUGGAGCUUGCUCCGGUGGAUUAGUGGCGAACGGGUGAGUAACACGUGAGCAAUCUGCCCUUGACUCUGGGAUAACUGCGGGAAACUGUAGCUAAUACCGGAUACUUUCAUUGGAAGGCAUCUUCUGGUGAAGAAAGAAUUUCGGUCAAGGAUGAGCUCGCGGCCUAUCAGCUUGUUGGUGAGGUAACGGCUCACCAAGGCGACGACGGGUAGCCGGCCUGAGAGGGUGACCGGCCACACUGGGACUGAGACACGGCCCAGACUCCUACGGGAGGCAGCAGUGGGGAAUAUUGCACAAUGGGCGCAAGCCUGAUGCAGCAACGCCGCGUGAGGGAUGAAGGCCUUCGGGUUGUAAACCUCUUUUAGCAGGGAAGAGGCGAAAGUGACGGUACCUGCAGAAAAAGCACCGGCUAACUACGUGCCAGCCGCCGCCGUAA